ACAACCCAAGCUUAAUCACCACUUUCAGUUGGAAUCUGGGUGCACGUGCCAUCUUCUACCGUAUAAUACACAAAUCCCUAUGAUCCUGGCGGCAGCAUCUGCAGAGGCUAUGGGCAUAGAGAUGGUGGACGAUAAGGCUCUCUAACUAGUUGUUUGUUCAAAAGUCUUGGCUUAAUGAAAAAUGUGAUCAUUAAUUUUUUUUAUUAUUCGUGAAUGCUAGAUCAACAUGCUAAUUUUUUUAUUCCAUCCGUAUAUUCUCAUUAUUUUUUUUUUCAUUUAUU
rnacentral:lncRNA from 1 species